rnacentral:lncRNA from 1 species
AGGGUCGUGAGGUGGAACUCUACCGCUGUCGCCACGGUGUCCUGGCGAGUGCUGCGCCGGCUCUGUCCGGCGGAAGUUGCCGGUCGGUGCGAACGAGCGUCCUUUGGUCACAACUGGCUCUGGUGUCAGCCGAGGCUGCUCCCUUGAUCCAUCCAGGAGAGACAAGGACCCACGUCUGAGUGCCGAAGGGCAGAGGCAUAGGGCUGCGCUUCGCGGGUGAUUGUUCCCCUAUAAGGGCCCUGCCUCCCCUGGCUCCCGGGCCCCAGACUCCUAAAGCUCCUCUGGUCCCAAGCUCCCUAGAUCCCCAAGUCCUAACUACUUUUCUAGACCCCAGUUUCUCAGACCCUAAAACUCUAAGAUCGCUGGCUGCCUAGAAUCUUAAGUCUUCAGAGUAUCUGGCCUCCAGCUUCCCAGACUCUCAGUCCUUAAGGUCCCCCAAACCCCCAGCUUCUCAAUAUCCCAAGCCAUAAGGACUCAGGCCUGCAGCUUCCAAGCCUUAAGACAGUCGAGAGGACAGUUCCUUCGAGAGAAUAAGACAGUGCAAAGGUGAAGGCUCCCUGCCCCCCUUGGAUCUUUGAGAGGUCCAUUUCGGAGUACCCCUAGAGGAAGGGUAGAACUUGUCGCAAGGGAAGAAUGGGUGUCCCUAAGAAGAGUCAGAGCAGGCCCCCAGAGAGCCAGGUCUGAGGCCCAGGGAUGCCUAUGAGAGAGGAGACUGAAUAGAGUGAAGUACCAGGAGUAGCUGCUGGUUGGUGGGAAGAAACCAAGGAGCCUGAGAAGAGUACAGGGAGUGAGGGAGGUUCUGCUUCACUGGGUGACAGGGUGCUGGUUCUGGAGUGGGUCUGCUGGAGCUUGGGAGAAGCCAUCUUGAAGUGGAGCAGAGCCCAGAGUAGCUUUACUCCAUGUUCCAGACACGGAUACCUGAGGCCACCUGGAGAAUGGGUUGGAAGCAGCCAAGAGAACCCAAAGCAAAACGGAAUGAGUACAGCCAGCCCUGCUUGUGGUGAGCGUGGGGCAGGGAAUCUGUUACAGCCACUCAUCCACUCAUCAUGUCCAGCCUGGCCACAGGAGGGUGCAGAACCAGGAGAGGACCCAACACUGCCACAGAGAUUUGCACACAAGGGUUGUUAGAUGAUGUGUGCAUUCUAACACGUGACAUUGCUCAUCCCAAUGGUCAUAGCUAGGGCUGUACCUUGACCACCUACCAUCUCACACCAAAGGAUUAGAGUACCUAGGAAGCCCUUUAAAAACCCAAAGGACUAAGAAGUUCUUUAAAAACUCAGUAAGAAAGUUGGUUGUAAGAGCUGAACCAAGUUGAUCCAGACAAAAUACAAAUGAUCCGUGAACCUAGAAAAAAGAUGCUCACAUACUGAGAGAAAUGACCACAAUGGCGAACUAUCAUAUUUAGAAAUUUCCUGAUUUGCUAAAUGUAGUCAGGGCUGCAGGGAAACAGAGAAUGCCCCUUGCAUAGGCAGUUUGGCACCCUCUGAGGGAAUUGUAAGUGCCUUCUCCUUAGGCCAGCCAUCCUACUUUUGGGAGUUGGGUACCCAUAGUGCUUCAGUGCCAUUUAAGAAUAUUUGUUACAAUUGCUUACAGUCAGAACUGGAAGUUGCCCAGAUGCCCAGCACUGAGAGACGUGAUAACUUAAUAAAUGUGUGCUGGAAUAAGCCCACUGUGACAUGCUACAGGAGUGAGAAAAUGAAAGGACUGGGUGGAGAGAGAGCUCUGAGGUAAAGUGCUUGCCUUAUAACAGUGAUGGCCCAGAUUCAGUCAGAACUUAAAGCAGGCACAGUGACACACUGUGAUCUAGCAUGGAGGAGAUAAAGACAGGUGGGUCUCAGAGUUUGACAGCCAGCCUAGCCUACUGGAAGCCCCAGGCUAGAGAGCGCCCACAUCACAAACAACAGUAAAACAAGGAGGGAUGGCUGGGGGGGGGGUGUCACCUUGAAGUGACUGGCCUCCACAUGUGCACACAUACACAGGGACAAGGGAUCGUUUGUGUGAAAGAAAAGCAAGGUGCACAUACCACAUCUGAUGAUGUGCCACCUUUGGGUGUGGCACUGAGGGAGUUCUGUAAGCCUGUGCUGGCCAGCUUCAUGCCAACCUCUACACAAAACAGAGGCAACUGGCAAGAGGGAAUCUUUUGUUUUGCUUUCCCAGACAGGGUUUCUCUGUGUAGCCCUAGCUGUCUUGGAACUUGUCCUGUAGACCAGCUGGCCUUGAACUCAGAAAUCUGCCCACCUCUGUCCUGGCUCCCAAGUGCUGGGAUUAAAGUUAUGCACCACCACCAUGAGGCAGGAAAGAGAAUCUUAACUGAGAAAAAUGCCUCCUGUAGGCAAGUCUGUGGGUUAUUGUUUUGAUCAGUGAUUGGAUGGCAGCUUACUGUGGAUGAUAGAACCCCUGGGUCCUGGGUGGCAUAAAAAAGUAGGAACAGCAAGCUAUGAGGAGCAGGCCAUCAGCACUGAUCCUCCGUGAACUCUGCAUCAGCUCUUGCCUCAAAGUUUCUGCCAUGUGUGAGUUCUUGCCUUGACUUCCCUCAGCGAUGACUGUGAUCUGAAGCUAUAAGCCAGAAUAAACCGUUUCCCUCC